rnacentral:rRNA from 1 species
AGAAUCAACGCUGGCGGCGUGCCUAACACAUGCAAGUCGAACGAGAAAGUGGAGCAAUCCAUGAGUAAAGUGGCGCACGGGUGAGUAACACGUGACUAACCUGCCCUUGAGUGGGGGAUAAACCUCGGGAAACCGGGGCUAAUACCGCAUAAUAUCGAGAGAUCAAAGGAGCAAUUCGCUUAAGGAGGGGGUCGCGGCUGAUUAGCUAGUUGGUAGGGUAAUGGCCUACCAAGGCUAUGAUCAGUAUCCGGCCUGAGAGGGCGCACGGACACACUGGAACUGAAACACGGUCCAGACUCCUACGGGAGGCAGCAGUGGGGAAUUUUGCGCAAUGGGGGAAACCCUGACGCAGCAACGCCGCGUGGAGGAUGAAGUCCCUUGGGACGUAAACUCCUUUCGAUCGGACGAUAAUGACGGUACCGGAAGAGAAGCCCGGCUAACUUCGCGCCAGCAGCCGC